GUGCCAGCCGCCGCGGUAAUACGGAGGGAGCUAGCGUUGUUCGGAAUUACUGGGCGUAAAGCGUGCGUAGGCGGCGAUUCAAGUCAGAGGUGAAAGCCUGGAGCUCAACUCCAGAACUGCCUUUGAAACUAGAUUGCUAGAAUCUGGGAGAGGUGAGUGGAAUUCCGAGUGUAGAGGUGAAAUUCGUAGAUAUUCGGAAGAACACCAGUGGCGAAGGCGGCUCACUGGACCAGUAUUGACGCUGAGGCACGAAAGCGUGGGGAGCAAACAGGAUUAGAUACCCUGGUAGUCCACGCCGUAAACGAUGAUAACUAGCUGCCAGGGUUCAUAGAACUUUGGUGGCGCAGCUAACGCAUUAAGUUAUCCGCCUGGGGAGUACGGUCGCAAGGUUGAAACUUAAAUAAAUUGACAG
rnacentral:rRNA from 1 species